rfam:Camelus ferus unplaced genomic scaffold scaffold2623, whole genome shotgun sequence.
GAGGGAAUAGCUCAAGUGGUAGAGCACGUGCUCAGCGUGCACGAGGUCCUGAGUUCAAUCCCCAGUACUGCCG